rnacentral:rRNA from 1 species
AUCAACUUUCGAUGGUAGGAUAGAGGCCUACCAUGGUGGUAACGGGUAACGGGGUGUUAGGGCACGACACCGGAGAGGGAGCCUGAGAAACGGCUACCACAUCCAAGGAUGGCAGCAGGCGCGCAAAUUACCCAAUCCCGACACGGGGAGGUAGUGACAAUAAAUAACAAUACGGGGUUCUUUCGGAUCUCGUAAUUGGAAUGAGUACAAUUUAAAUCUCUUAACGAGGAACAAUUGGAGGGCAAGUCUGGUGCCAGCAGCCGCGGUAAUUCCAGCUCCAAUAGCGUAUAUUAAAGUUGUUGCAGUUAAAAAGCUCGUAGUUGAAUUUCGGGAUCAAAUUGUUGGUCAUGCUUCAGUACGCACUGGCAUUAUUGGUUCUUACCUUCUGAAGAACCGCGAUGUCAUUAAUUUGGUGUCGUGGGGAAUCAGGACUGUUACUUUGAAAAAAUUAGAGUGUUUAAAGCAGGCGCACGCUUGAAUACAUUAGCAUGGAAUAAUGAAAUAGGACGUUUGAUUCUAUUUUGUUGGUUUCUAGGAUCGACGUAAUGAUUAAUAGGGAUAGUUGGGGGCAUUAGUAUUCAAUUGUCAGAGGUGAAAUUCUUGGAUUUAUUGAAGACUAACUACUGCGAAAGCAUUUGCCAAGGAUGUUUUCAUUAAUCAAGAACGAAAGUUAGGGGAUCGAAGACGAUCAGAUACCGUCGUAGUCUUAACCAUAAACUAUGCCGACUAGGGAUCGGAUGAUGUUAAUUUUUUAAUGACUCAUUCGGCGCCUUACGGGAAACCAAAGUGUUUGGGUUC